AGCGGCAGGCAGGCUGGUGCUUGCUACUCCUCUCGCUCUCCGAUCGUCGGCUCCUGGCUCGCUCAGUUGCUUUGGUGGCGAUCGAUGGAUGGGUGUAGCUGGAAGACGAGAGCUCCUGGCUCGCUCAGUUGCUAUUUAUGGACGCUCGAUCGGCGGGCGGUAUCCCAACCUUUUUCUUGGUCUGGUGAGUAUAACUUGUGUUUUGUUUACUCUGACAGCUCUGGUUUUCCAAUGUCUCGACAAGGAAGACUUUGAUCAAGUGCGAAAACAAGGACGAGUCCGGACACACCGGCGGUGUGGUGGGCUGGCCAAUGCCAGGAAUUGGAUGUUUCUGUGCUGCGACAAGAAACCACACAAGAAAGAAGAAGUGACGAGAGUUGUUCAAAAAAAAAGGGGUGACCACAGAACUACAUACACAUGAACAUGUGCUAAUUCUUAUCACUGUGUAAUUAGGGAAGUUCUUUAGGAGAUGGUAGUUCAAAGCCGCGCCUUGAGAUCGGGAAAUUAAUUUGGAUGCGCAGGCAAAGGCGUCACAGAGGAUCCAGCCAAGCGAUUCAUCGCUUACCUCACGCGUGAUCAGUUUAAGACAUUUGGUGGUUUAUAUUUAGUUCCCGUUCCUGAUUCAGUGUCAAUGCCACGAUCAACACGGCUUCGGAGAUCAGUUGACUUCUAGCAAAAGCCGCCUUAAUCUUCCCGUUAAAUCAGUGGUCUUUCAGAUUCAUUGGAAUGGAAGCCACCAAAAUCUGUCAAACCUCUUGGUUUGACGUAGAGUCUAGAUCUGAGAAACCUAUCAAACCUCCUCUUCGACCUACUCGAGCGUGUACAUUACUUCUUAUAAAUGUUGAAAGAAUACCCGGCCAUCCAGGGGGUCUGAAAGGGGUAAAACAAUCUGGUUCACACGUUUGACGAUGUACAGUAACUUUCUCCUCCCACUUUCCACCACAGCCGUCGGAUGCAGUGGUUUCUUUUUCCACCCGUUGCUGCUUGUUGGUUGUCAAUGACGCCUAGGCCCAAUUUUGUCCGGGGCCGGCUGCUAGAGGCAGCGGUGGACGCUCGUCCGCGUCGCUCUCUUCAAGUGUGGUUGCGUGAAUGGUGAAAACCCUAGACCACCACACGAUUGGUUCCCAGUCCUCCUCCCGUCCCCCAAUCCCUGCUCCUCUUCCUCUCAUCCAAUCCGCCGCCUUCCUCCUUCUCGCGCGACGGCGCGUCUGGAGGAACCGGCCGGAGAAGGAGCGGCCAGCCCGAGCUAUGGAGGUGCCUGCAGGGGGGUCACGAUGGCUUGGGCGGCCGAUUCGGGUGGUGGCGGCGGGUGGAGGCGAGGCGGGAGUGGCCGGAGACGGGAUCGUGCAGGGCGGAUCCACGGCGGCGGCUACUGGAGGCGCCGGGUGCGGCCGGAGACAGGCCGACGCAGGGUGGAUCUGCUCCGCCGACGACCGAAGGUGACGGGCUCGCGCGGGGCGGAUCCGCAGCGGUGGCGGCCGAGAGGCGCCGGGCGUGGCCGAAGACGGGCCGGCGCGGGCGGAUCCGCUCCGGCGAUGACCGGAGGCGACGGGCGCGGCCAGAGAUGGGCCAGCCGGAGGUAGAGGAGCAGCGAGGGGCGGUGCUGGGACGGUGGUGGAGGAGCAGCGACGAGCGCGCCGGCCAUGGUGCCACUCGCCGGAGCACAUCAGCAUCUCGUCGCUCGUCAAAUAUUACUUUCCAAUGUUAUGUUUCACGCAGCCUGCCGAAGUUGCAAGUGGUGACUGGUGAGCAAGAGCAAAUUCGCUACCUCGCUUGAAGAGCUCUCACCUGUCACCCGGAGGCCUCAUCCAAAUUUCUACCCAUCAACUUCAUUUGACUCGCCAAGCUAAAACCUCUUAUAUGUUCUAUGAAAUUACUACAGUGUAAAGGAUAUGAUGAUCCUAAGAAAAUCACAACAGUACAUACCAUUUUGUUCUUGCUGGAGCUUACUCUUUUCUUUGAUGACACAGUCAAGCAUGUUUUGAUAGCAGGCGGCACCCCAUCUGAGGGUUACUAGGUCAUUUGAGGCCUGAAUUAUAAGCACAGUCAUGUAUUUGUGACAGUUAUUAGAAGGAAAUGGUCGAGAACUUGGAUGUGAGGGUGGCCCUGGUGUGGCAGGCAGUGCGGCCUCGGCAGAAGGACCAGACGGAGUCGAGUGUGGAAGGGAGCAAAAAGGAAGGGACAAUUUUUUUGGGGUCGAUUGUUGCGGUUCUGGGUUGGUUCCCACAUCAACUAAGUUGUGUUCUCCUUUAAGCUCUCGAUCUCUUAACGGCGCUGCUGCUACUGUUCCAUGCAUAAAUUCAGGUUUGGGGAUUUUUUUUAUAUAGCAACAUUGUUCAGAGAGAGCUUCCAGGCCGAGCCCCGCGGUCUGGUAGGUAGAAGGUGAGCCAUUUCAAUCCUAUUUCUUUGCCUCUUGCAUCCUCCAUCACACACUAUGUAUCCAAGUACAACAACUUGGGUGCUGGUAAACAUUUACUAACUGUCACUGAGAGCUUUGUCCUUAUAAUUUUAUCUUGCAUUACCAAAUUGCAUGAAGUGGUCUCUAACUUGUUAUCUACUUCACCUACCUAUCUUUCGUCUGCUGAAGCUUUGCUAUUCGCCUAUUCUCUUGCAGGCAAAGCAAUAUCUCGUCUAUCUCUGUUUACCUUGGCACUGGGUUGACAUAUGGAAAGUUGCUCCCUUCUGUAUGCGGCUGCUCAAAGGUAUAAGCAGCCAGAGAGAACAUCUAGAGCGCUUUCAAUGUCGAGAUCAAGUGAAGUUGCGCUGGUCUUGGCAUGGCAGUGCUUGACUUUCCCAAGCAUGAAGCUUUUGGGAGCACUGUGUUGUCAGGUCAUCUCGGGUGCCAGGCUGGCAUCACUUCUACCAGUUGUGUUGUUGUUACAACUACUACACCUUUGUUGCUUCUUUGAUGAUAAUCUGCAUCGCUGUAUAUAUUUCUACUUUUCUGAGAUGAUUUUAUGACGAUUAUAUGGUUCCAAACUUGUAUGGUUUCAGUACCUGCAGAUCCCACCUCUUCCCUUGAUCGAUCUGAUAGACAUGCGGGUACCUGCAGAU